UUAGCGGGCCGCGGGUUGGUGAUUUGGCAGGAUCCGUGUCAAGGCGCAACGGCCUGCGAUGCACGGAGGGCUCUUUUAAUCUUCGAUUGCAAAAAACAUUUUUUACCAAUUAAACUUAACGGUAGACAUUGUAGGAGGAGAGCCGGGUUAGUCUAUGGUGUCAAGAAAAAAAAUCAGGAAGAGUCUAACAGCACCUUUUCCGACUACAGUAAUCCAUUUUCUUAAAAGGCAUACACUCACCAGCUUUCCAAAGCUGCUGCCUUUUAAUAAAAUGGGUUAGUGGGAAAAGCUGCUCCCGGACUCCUGAUUUUUUACCAAACAGGAGAGGACUCAAAUUCCAGCAAGAUUAUCGAUUGCGGUCGAGCUGAACAGCUACUGGAAGGAAACUACAUUGGUCUGAAAAUCACUGUCCUCACGUGUUCCUCUUAUUGCAUCUCUAGAACAAGGAUUGUGGAGCUGUUGCCCUCACAUGGGAGAAGCUGCGUUCUCCAGAAAGCAUGAUGGUCUGCCUGAGCACAAAACCCUUGCCAUUUUCUGCUGAUAUUCUUAUUGAUGGAAUUCAUAGAAUAAUUCUGCUGGAAGACUUGUGAGCGUCGGAUUGCUGUGUCCAUCAGCAAGGAAACAGAAUGUACAUCAGAUUUCAGGGAAAUAUGUUGUGAUCAUUUUUACUCAGCAUUAGAGUCUUGAUGAGCUCAGAAUGUUGAAGGCAGAAUGACUCUGUCCUGGUCAAACCCCAUGUAGAAUUCUGUGUCCAGGUCUGGGCAUCCCAGUUCAAAAAGGAUAGUAAGAAAUUGCAAUGAAUUCAGAAGACACCAGCCAAGAUGGCUAGAAACGGAGUCCUAUGAGGAACAGUUAAAUGAUAUGAGUUUGUUUAACCUACAGAAAAAACGACUGAAGGGAGAUAUGAUAGCAGUCUUCAAACAUCUGAAGAAGGAGUGGACUUAUUCUCUAGUGCCCAAGAGGGCAGAAAUAGCACUAGUGGGUUAAAAAUUACAAGGAAGGAGGUUCAGGCUAGAUAUCAAGAGAAAUUUCCUGAAUAUAUGAGCCAGUGGAGCAAGUUACCACUUGAAGUGGUGAGUUUUCCUUCAGCAGAGGUAGAGGUCUUCAAGCAGAGGUUGGAUAGUCAUCUGUCAGAGAUCCUCUACUGGAUCCUGCAUUGAGCAGGGCAUUUAAAGGUAUCUUCCAAGUCUAUGAUUCUAAUUAUUUAUAAAGUUGGAAUCAAAAGUUAUUGGAUUCACAUCUCACCUACAUCAUAAAUUUAUGGGAUUCCUACUACUCCUUAACCUAACCCCCCUAUCUACAAACAGUAGUACAGACUUUAAACCCAAUGUCCUCCAGAUGUGUUGGACUUGCAAGACCCAAGAUUCCCAGCCAAAGUUGAAGCCAAUGGAUUGCACGUCAGAAUAAAACCCUGUUGAAACAUGAACUCAACUUGGCAGCCUAAGCUCAAAUCAAUGACUCUGUAGGUUUGCUGUGAAUGUUGAAAGGCUAUGAGAGAGAUGUGGUCAUGAACAAUCUCCAUGGAGAAUAAACCUGUGUGGAUAACAUUGAUCAACCUUUCAAGGUUGUCAUAAGGACUGUUACGACAAAGUAUGUGUGAAGCAUUUCAAUCCAGGGGAACAGCAUAUAGAAAUCCCUAAUGCAGUUAUGCUGGAGAUUAAUAUGAAGCCUAUUCUUCCUUUAUAUUCAGGAGACCUAUGGCAUGUUUUUAUUCAAAGGGUAAUUGCUGCUCAGAGCAUGCUCAUUUUUUCUCCCCAGCUGUAGCGUGAUUCUGGGGAAGCUGCUCCAAAGCCUUUUGAAUUUGAAGUGUUGCCUGAAACCUCUGGAUAUGCUGGGACUACCAUUCCCCAAAUCCUGAUAAAUUCUACCGAAUCCUCAGAAUUAGGAAGGCAGUAGUAAAUAAUUCUUAGUGAAUUUCACAGGACAGAGCAAACACACUCUCAGCCCUUCAAGGUGGUCCAGACAAGCAUUAGCCAUGAGCACCAACACUACCUUUAUUGUAGGGUUAAGUGAAAGAGUCUUGCCAAUCAAAGUAUGCCUCUCCUUUCUGUCCAAGAAACA